CAACUGUAGAGUUAAGGUAGGCAAAUUAAUAGUUUUACAUUGUUUAAUCAAGAACAAACUUGAAACUUGCAUAAGAAAUGAUGAGCAACCGUUAAACAAAUAAUGAUUUAGGAGUUAUUAUAAAGCAGUGUGUAACUAGGUUUUAAAAUCGGUACUGCACUAUAUGAAAAAAAAAUGUUGCCUAAAAAUAAAUCAAUUUCCUACUUUAUGUAGCAAAAAUGUGUCUAAUUUUUUGAUCUGCAGCAGAAACAGAGAUCAUGAAAAGGUAGAUUUUUUUUUUGUUAAGAAAGUAAAUUAUUUUGUUAUUAUGACAGGAAACAGGUAGAACAAACUGUAGUUAGUGGUGUUAGUCAUUAAAGGGACACCCUACUGCCCAAAUACAAUAUAAAUAAAAAUCACUGUGAAGUAGAUAUACCCCAAAUCAAAACCUUCAUGCAUUUAAUUAUGCAUUUAUUUCAUUAAGAUAUAUCUUAAAACAGCUUGCAAAAGUUUCAGUUCUGCCAUUGAAAUCAC